rnacentral:tRNA from 1 species
AGUUGCUGAGUAAUCAAGAACUCUGGAGCUUUACGUUUACGAAAGAAAUCUGACGGCCAAUUAUCAGUAUUGGAG